UACGGAGGAUGCAAGCGUUAUCCGGAAUGAUUGGGCGUAAAGCGUCCGCAGGUGGCUAUGUAAGUCUGCUGUUAAAGAGUGAGGCUCAACCUCAUAAGAGCAGUGGAAACUACAUGGCUAGAGUGCGUUCGGGGGAGAGGGAAUUCCUGGUGUAGCGGUGAAAUGCGUAGAUAUCAGGAAGAACACCGGUGGCGAAAGCGCUCUGCUAGGCCGCAACUGACACUGAGGGACGAAAGCUGGGGGAGCGAAUGGG
rnacentral:rRNA from 1 species